GGGGGCGACUGGAAUUGACAGCUUGCCGAAAGUGCGUGUAAGCAUGCCGGGAGUUGACGGUAUUUCCCGACCCGAACAAAUCGUCAAAACAAUAACUGGCGAAUAUAACUACGCCAUGGCUGCUUAAUCCGGAGGAUUUAGCAAAUGCCAUCGUCUCCCCGACCUACGUGCUGCCGGUUGGAUCAGGAGGCGUCGACUCGCAGCGCUGGCUUCGAUAAUCAUUGUGACAAGGAGCGAGACAAAACAAUGUACGGUUGUCAAUAGGCCAGUUGUGAGCCAGUUGCCCGCCCGACAAUUCCAAUCACAACUAAGCAUGUAGAAAGCGCGACGCUUUCCUUGACUGGACCAGGGUUCAAAUCCCUGCGUCUCCACUA
rnacentral:tmRNA from 1 species